rnacentral:rRNA from 1 species
GACGAACGCUGGCGGCGUGCCUAACACAUGCAAGUCGAACGAGGUCCAUGCAGUGGCAACACUGCGGAAGACCUAGUGGCGAACGGGUGAGUAACACGUGAGGAACCUGCCCCGAAGACCGGGAUAACCCCCCGAAAGGAGAGCUAAUACCGGAUGCCCCCACCGGAUCGCAUGAUCUGGUGAGGAAAUGGAUUCCGCUUCGGGAGGGCCUCGCGGCCUAUCAGCUUGUUGGUGGGGUAACGGCCCACCAAGGCAUCGACGGGUAGCUGGUCUGAGAGGACGAUCAGCCACACUGGGACUGGGACACGGCCCAGACUCCUACGGGAGGCAGCAGUGGGGAAUUUUGGACAAUGGGCGAAAGCCUGAUCCAGCAAUGCCGCGUGCAGGAUGAAGGCCUUCGGGUUGUAAACUGCUUUUGUACGGAACGAAAAGCUUCGGGCUAAUACCCUGGAGUCAUGACGGUACCGUAAGAAUAAGCACCGGCUAACUA